rnacentral:rRNA from 1 species
AGAUUGAACGCUGGCGGAAUGCUUUACACAUGCAAGUCGAACGGCAGCACGGACUUCGGUCUGGUGACGAGUGGCGGACGGGUGAGGAAUAUAUCGGAAUCUACCCAAUCGUGGGGGAUAACGUGGGAAACUUACGCUAAUACCGCAUACGAUCUGAGGAUGAAAGCGGCGGACCGCAAGGCGUCGCGCGAUUGGAUGAGCCGAUAUCCGAUUAGCUAGUUGGUGGGGUAAUGGCCCACCAAGGCGACGAUCGGUAGCUGGUCUGAGAGGAUGAUCAGCCACACUGGAACUGAGACACGGUCCAGACUCCUACGGGAGGCAGCAGUGGGGAAUAUUGGACAAUGGGCGCAAGCCUGAUCCAGCCAUGCCGCGUGUGUGAAGAAGGCCUUCGGGUUGUAAAGCACUUUUGUUGGGGAAGAAAAGCCGUCGGUUAAUACCCGAUGGUGAUGACGGUACCCAAAGAAUAAGCACCGGCUAACUUCGUG